rnacentral:lncRNA from 1 species
GGAGAUUUCUAGUGAAAUCUAGGCUGUGACCCAAGUUGAAUGAAGAUGGGGCUGCAGAAGAGAAAAGUGCAUUCUUUCUCACAGGAAAGACAGCAGCCUUGUAAGGGAAACUGAAAAUAGGGAGGAGUUUGAAGGAUGGUAUCACUAUCAGAAAUGAGGAUAGAAAAGGAGGCCUUAGCAAAGCCAGCUAAAAUAGUUCAGCCUUCAUCCCCAAAAUAAAUGGGAGACAUAGAAGCCCUUGCUAGCAUUGCAUUUCACAGAAUAAUCUGACACAUAAUCUCAUCUAAAUCUCAUAACAUCCUGAGAAGGUAAGCAGGUUAGUGAUCAACUGGUUUGUACAGAGGAAAACUGAGGCUCAUCAAGGUGAAGUGAUUUGUCCAAGGCUGCUGUUAAAUAAUUGAUAGCCUGAAGUCUAAGGUCCGAUUAUCAGUCUCCAUUCUGGUUUCCAGAAGCCCAAAUCUCCAGAUUCCCAGUCUCCAUCUCCUCACAUCAUAGCAAUCUGUCCAAGACCCCAGAUUCUGCCAUUGCAAUUCUUUUUUUGGAAUGCCCAUGUCUCUAUGAUAACAGCAUUCAUUGCCUACUACCCCAUCUACACUUGUCAUGGCCUUCCUAGGGUAAUAUUCCCUGUCAUGGGGCUCCAAAUUGGCAGGCAAGAAACCUCAGAGAGCAAAGGUAGCAUCAUCUUAAGAGGUAAUGGCUGUGGUAAGUCAGGUAAAUUAGUGCUCAGUGGGUUGCGGAGCUUCAUUCACCCAAACAAAUAGGAAAUGAGGAAAUGCCAAGGAGAAGAGACAGCAUUUCAAUUUCCUAGAGAGGUGACAUCUGACUCUGGCCUUCAACAACAAGAUAAAAUUUCCCAGAAGAAGAAGGUAUCUUGCUUGGCAGGCAAUCAUAGCUGAGAGAAUACCAUGCAGUAGAGGUAAGAGAGAGUGUGGCUUCUAUUUUGGUGUAGUCAAAGUGUAUGGGAACUGGUAGGGAGUAAUUAGAACUGAAUCUGAGCUUGUAUGUCCUAUUAAGAAGUAGAAUAUCUUCUGUAGGCCACUCAUCUUCAAUUGUCACAUGUGAAAUAUAAUGACCUUACAUGUGACAUGACCUCAGUCAGGGGAGCCAAGAGAGAUGUGUGCAGUUCCUGACACACAGCUAUCAUCAGCUCAUUUCGUUCCCAUUUAAGAAGCAAAUAUAAGUGCAAGUGAGAAUGACCAUAUUAAAAGGAAAUAUUUGGGGCCUGGGGUUGUGGCUCAGUGGUAGAGUGCUCGCCUAGCACAUGGGAGGCCCUGGGUUCAAUCCUCAGCACCACAUAUAAAUAAAUAAAUAAAUAAAUAAAUAAAUAAAUAUGAUAUUGUGUGCAACUACAACUAAAAAAUAUUUUUAAAAGGAAACAUUAGAACAUCCUAUCAUAUUUUAAGAAAGUUAUCCAUGAACUUCAGUAUGUAAAAUACUAUUAACAAUUAUUUGCCACCCCUCACAACUGAUUAUAUAACAGCAGUUGAGAUAACCAAGAUGUUUUUUGUUUUGUUUUGUUUUCUGUUUUUUCUUUUGUUUUUUUUUUAAGAAAGCUGUAACAUAAUAAGUUUGAGGAGGUGAAAACUAUGCUAAAAGUUAUUAUGUGAGAAUAAUAUAAUAGAAAGUGAAGCAGAGAGUGAUUCAAGGGCAAAAUUAACAGUGAUGCUGAUGGCCACAACAACAUAAAUAAAAUGUAUUGCAAGUUUACUGUGUGUCAAGAAAAGUGUAUAUAAUUGUCAUAUCAACCCAAUGAGUCCAGCCCAGUUGCCUCCUUAUAUAGAUAAGGAAAAUGAAGCCCUGACCCAACAUUAUUUCUGGAUUAGACCCAAGAUUAUAUCUAAGUAAUAAAGCCUAAAUUCAAACUCAAGAUUAUUGCAAAAGAUUAUGAUCUUGAUCACUACAUCAUUCUUAAAAGGCUGACUGCUUUUCUCAAAGCCUUUGAAAAGAGGCCCAGGAAACUCAAAAGCAGGUAGUAUUAUGAGCAGGAAUAAAGAAGGAACUAUAUCAAAAUGUAAUUAUCUUCAAAACCACCCACGUACAAAAAAGAGUUAUGUCUGGUGUACAUGACCUCACAAAUUUCCACACGGCCUCUUCCCCAAAAUUCAGAUGACUCGUACUGGGAGAAAAAAUGUUCUUUUCUACCCUACCAUCUUCUAAAUGUCUUAUAAAUGCACUUGCCCCUCCUUUCUGUCUGGUUAGAGGUAUCUGGGUACAGCAGAAAGCUGGAUAAUCAAAGAAUCUGUGAAUAUAUUUGUCUAUAAAUGCAGGCAUGGGAAAAGAACAUUGGAUCAGGAGUCAGGUUACCUACCAGCUUCUGUCACUAACUGGCAGAUAAAAUUAUGUAGAACCUUUCUCUUUUCUAGGACUCAAUCUCACCUUCUGUACAGCAAGGAAGAUCAAGAAAAAGCUUAUUUAGUUCAGCUUUAACUUGCUUUCUUAGACUAUGAAAUUGUUGGCAAAAACCCGAAAUUGUCCCACUUCAUCUUACUCUAAUUUCUAUAAUCCUGUGCCUAAUUUGUUUUUCACUACAAAUUUAACCUAGGGAAGUUCAACCACUGAGUCUUAUUAUCCCCAUCCCUUUUUAUAUUUAUUUUGAGACAGGAUCCCACUAAGUUGCUUAAGGCCUCAUUAAAUUGCUAAGGCUGGCUUUGAACUUGCCAUCAUCCUGCCUCAGCACCCUGAGUCAUUGAGAUUACUGGUGUGCACCACCACCCCAUUUUAAAAUCCCAUAUUCUAAAAGAGAGCAAUGAUAGUUUGUUAGACUAGAAAUAUCUAGCCUCCAGCCUCCUGACUACACACCUAGUAAUGUGUUGCUUAUUGUUCCACAGCAGUCUCCACCCUAUAUCGCACCAACCUACCUGCUGCUCAUACACACUUGUUGAUCUUGGUGGGAAUGUACUUCUAGCAAUGAUCUUUGGGCCAUUCUGUACCUGGACUAUACUACUAUAGGUCAAACACCCUGCCAAAUUUCCCAUCCAGAGUACAUGUGAGCAACUGUAGCUGAUUGAAGGGUCUCUGAGAUGGAGAAGGUAUGGAGCUACAAGAACCAGAGUACAGGCAAUACUAUUGGACAAGCAUUAAUGCUCAAAGAGACCAGACCAAAGAUUACCCUCUGGUAAGAGGACUAUAUAUUUUACCAUUUUUUGCUCACAUAGUUUUCUCCAUAUGAAAUGCCCUCCCCUAUUUUUGCCUGGGCAAAUCCUUCCUAUCCAUUGAUGCUCAGCUCAAAAAACAGCUCCAGUAUAUUUUUCCUAAUUUCUGAAACUGGAAAUUAACCCUCUGUGCUUUAAACUUCAAACUUCCCUCUCUGAAGAUCAAACAACUACUUUGGUUUGCAGUUCAUUUAUAAAAGCAACCCACUGCCAUCUAAGUAAUGCUUUAUAGCUUGUAGUACUUCAAUAUCUACUGUGCCACUGAAGAUUCACAGGAACCCUAUAAGGAAAGCAGGGCAGAAAUUAUUAAUACUGCUGUAAAAUAUGAGACAAGAAGGAAGCAUUGUUAUUUUAGAAGUUGGCCAUAGACCUUUAUUUAUAAUAGUAUGUCUUACUAGAUACUCUGAUGGCUCUUCCCCCCAAAAUUAACUAAAUUUCCUAGUGAAAUUAAAAAGAUAAUAUUUUAAAAUUAAUCACUGCAUUAAUAUGUUAGUAAGGAAUCCUGAAAGGUAAUAAUAGAAAUAAAAUCAGUAGCUAUGUAGUGUGACCAGUUAGAUAUUGCCCUGAAAUUUUUAUCCAAACCUUGGGGAUUCUGAAUUUCUAUUAUAAUUACUGUAAGAAAUUAGAAGAAUAGGAGAUUAAAAUUAGGGCCUGACCAAGGUAUGGGAUCUUAUAAGAGACUUCCACAUAAAGCUGACACCCUCAAAGGCCAUAUCCUCAGUGUAAGGGUAAAUAAGUAUUAAAUCUGUGACACAUGGAUUUGUAGUCCUAAUUUAAGACACAUUUUCAGUGUCUUCAGAAAAACCAAAAGUAGAGAUCUGAAAAUCACCAUUGGAACUGGCAAAAGCAAAUGUUCUAUGAAAAAAUGCAUCUUUCACCAGCCUCAAAAAUUCCUACAGGUCCAAAGAAAAGGAGCAUCUCACAAACAAAGGUUACAAAACAUAAAGAGAUAAUCCAUCCAGAUUAAAAUCCCAAGAAAAAAGAAAUAACAGAAUCAGAUCCAUAGACUUCAGAAUGUAGAAUCAUCACACAUAGAAUAUAAAAUUAACUUUACUGGCAAUGUUGAUAGAUAUUUUAAAAAUAAUUGAAGUGUGAAUAAGUGACAAAACCCCAUAAAUAACAAUUAGUCUUACUGGGAAAAUAACAAAAUAUAAUGCUUAGAACUAACAAGUAAAAUAGUGGAGCCAAAAAAUAUUGAUAGAUUAAAGAACAGGAUAUGUACAACUGUAGAAAGAAUUAGGGAAUUGGAAGACAGAUGAGAACACAAUUAAUGAUAUACAAAAAUAUCCAUUAUAGUUAAGAUUAGCAUCCAUAAUGAUAACAGUAGAAGUCAUUAGUGGAAAAUACCUGUAAUGCGCUAAAUAUCUUUCAAAAAAGUUAAAAUAAUACAUUUUAAAAUCAAUCCCAUGCUAAAGGAAAUUUUAAAUGAUGCACUUCAGAGUGAAGGAAUACAAUCUUAAUGGAAGUUUUGAAAUGCAAGAAGUAAUACUGAGCAAAGAUAUUGGAAAACUUGUAGGUAAAUCUAAAAAUUCAUUGAGUUUAUACUAAAAUAAUAGUAAUGUCUAACCUGUAGGACAAUAGCAAGAUAAAAUUAAAGACUUAGAAUUAGAAAAUAACUUAUUGAUUGGGAUCAUUACACUUAAAAAUUCUAAUAUCCUUUAGUUUUUGAGGACAAAGAAAGAUAUUCAUUGUUUAUUUUUAUUUAAAUUGUUUUACUGAUCAUAAAAACACAAAAUUGUACAUACUAAGGAGGUUCCGUGUAAAAAUGAAAAUGACAAAUAUCUCAAGAAAGCUAUUGUGGAUAAUCAUUAUCUGACAUUUUGUAAUUGCAACCUUAUUGAGUAUAAAGUAGUAUCUCAUUGUAGUUGCUGAUAUGCAUUUCCUUGAUGGUUGAUGAUGUAAGCAUCUUUUCAUGUCAUUUUAUUGGUCAUCUGUAUAUCUCUCUUGUAGAAAUUUCUAUUCAUAUAAUUUAUCCAUUUCCAGACUGAGUAAUUUAUCUUUUCAUUAUUGAUAUGUAAUGUCUUUAUAUAUUCUAGAAAUAAGACCCUUAAGUGACUUGUAAAAAUUUGCUUCAUUCUGUGGGAUGUCUUUCACUUUCUUGAUAAUGUCCUUUGGACUGAAAAAGCUUUUCAUUUUGGUGAUACCCAUUCAUUUAUUAUUUCUUUUGCUGCUUUUGAUUUUAGAGUAAUAUCUAAGAAAACAUUGCCUAAUACAAGUUCAAAAUAUGUAUGCCAAUAUUUUCUUAUAAAAUAUGCUAAGUGAAGCUAGCGAAUCCCUAAAAAACAAAUGCCAAAUGUCUUCUUUGAUAUAAGGAGGGCAACUAAGAACAGAGCAGGGAGGAAGAGCAUGAGAAGAAGAUUAACAUUAAACAGGGAUGAGAGGUGGGAGGGAAAGGGAGAGAGAAGGGAAAUUGCAUGGAAAUGGAAGGAGACCCUCAGGGUUAUACAAAAUUACAUACAAGAGGAAGUGAGGGGAAAGGGAAAAAAAAUACAAGGGGGAGAAAUGA